AGACAUGUUGAUGUGUGGCCGAUGAGGCUCUGGUGGCCACUUACAAAAUGAAUAUUGUCAUCAGCAUCUUAGCCUCAGCAUUCUGGGCUUGCUGGGGCCCUAGCUAUUAUGAGGCAUACUACAGGGAAAUGUGGUUAGGAGCUUCUUUUGAACGAAGCAUGCCCAGGAGCACGAAGAGAAACAAAAUGAAACCAAAAUGCACAGAACAAAGAGAUUACAACCCUCCUCCCUCUUUCCCCUUCUGAACUAAACAUCCCUGCUAUCUGAAAGAUUUCUAGUUACAUUUAUAAAGUCAUUGUGUUUUAGAUAUAAUGCACUCUGGUCUAGUGGAAUAAGUUGCUAUCCCCUGUGUAUCAUGAGGCCAUGGAAAGAAUUGCCUCCUACAACUUUCCCAAUAAUAUCCCUGCCUCCUAAAGAACUUGCUCAAGAGGUAACAUGAGCAAGUGGGAGAAGAAGUGGGCUUUGGAAUCAGAAAAUCUUGAUACUUGAAAAACUAGUGAUCUUGCACAAGCCACUAAGUCUUUCUAAACUUCUUUAUCUGUAAAAUAGAGAUAAUAACAACAUUGUGGAUUAGCUGAGAGAGUAUAUUUAAAAGCAUGUGGAAUCAAGUGGGAACAUAAUAAAUAUCCUUCCUUUCAGGUCCUAGGUGAUUCAACUAAUAUUAAAAAGCUGCAGCUGAAGUACCUGGACUCACAAAAAGUUAAUUGUACCAGGGCAAAAGAGAGGAAGGUAGUAAAAGUCAAUGCUCAUGAAAUUCCAGGCGACCAUUUGGCUGCUGCAGUUGCAACUCAAGGCUGGUGCUGGGCCACGCAGUAAUCUGGUUUGUGUACCCACACAAUACACAGAAAUGCAAUGCCUUAGGAAAGCUCUACUCCGGCAGUCCCUCACCACCUUCUCUUGGCUAGGGGAAGGAGCUUCCUUUGCCCUGUUCAGCUCUCAGGUUCUCCAGUGCAAAGAGUCUCAGUGCUACUCAUUGGAACCACCUGGAAAGCUUUUGCAAAACACUGAUCCUGACCACACACUCCAAACUUCUAAUUUAAUUGGUCUUGAGUGGGAAACUACCACCUUAGUAUUAGGUUGGUGCAAAGCUAUCACUUUUAUUUUUGAUCAAGAAACAUCUCUAUCAUCACAAUCUCAACAUCAUUCUCACCUGGGUUACUGA
rnacentral:lncRNA from 1 species